rnacentral:lncRNA from 1 species
CCGCCAUUUGUAGUACUAAAAAUGGUCUAGAAAGGUCAACUGAUUUUCAAGUAUAAAUACAGAGUUUAAACAGGGAUGUCAGAUAAUGGCUAAAAGGCCGAAAAGAGACGAACAGAUCCGUGACUUCGCUGAAUACUUUGAUGGCAAUAGCAGUGAUAUAGAAGAUCUAUCUGACAGUGAUGAUGAUGUGACUAAAGUUCUGAAAAAUGCAACUAAUGAUAGUGAUACUGAUAGUGACGAUGAACCAUUAGUAAACAUGAAACGUAAACGACGCGGUGGCAGUCAGAUAGCUAAUUCUGGUGAUGAUAAAGCUUGUUCAGAAGAUAAAGAUGAUGAUAUUCCUUUGGCCCAGUUAGUCUGUAACAUCACUGACACACCUGUUCAUGGUUCUGUGCGGACAUUAUGUGAAUAUCGGGCUCCUAACUGGUGAUAAAGAGGCCAUCCUAGAAAACUUACAAACGCCUUAUGCCUAUCUAAAAAAUGUCAUAACUGAUGAAAUGUUUGAUGUUGCUUCUACAGAAACAAAUAUGUACAGCAUGCAGAAAGAUGGAAUAAGUUUAAAUACACCGCAAAAGAGAUCCAAAUUAUAAUUGGCGUUUACUCUUGAAUGGGAAUUAUUAAGGUAUACAAGCUGCGAGCUUAUUUGGAAAGUUCAACUCGUUACGGCCCUGUUACCGAAGUCAUGUCUCGAAACAGAUUCUUAAAUCUUAUUCGGUUGUUGCAUUACUCUAACAAUCUGGAUCAUGUUGACACUGGCACUCCAGACAAAAUAUGGAAAUUGCCACCAUGGUUCUAGUCGCAUGAAUAGACUGAACUGUUAAAUAAGUAUGGAUUUUAGAAACUGAUCCCCGCUCUAGUCGUAGUUUACUUUAGUUUAUUGUUAGAAAGUUUUAUUGUUGAUUUACAAAGUCAAUAUUAAAGUUUUGUUCAUCAGUAAUGAAGUUUGAUUCAGUUUCAGACACCUACUUUGUUAAAAAACCUGCCCAAACCUAGUUUCUAUUUAUGUAGCAGAUCUGCUACAAUUCCGUAAAAAAAACCGGCGUAUCAGAUCUGCUACAAAAAAUAUCUUUGUUACCAUAGUAACGAGAUAAAAAAUAAACAUGGUUUUAAUUCACCAAGGUCAAGUUACUUAAAAUAGCAAGUGAUCAGAAUGUUUCACAAUUCACAACUACUGUCGCAAACGAGUUCACUUUCAUGGUGGUAGGUGGUCUACGAAUGUGCACAUAUCAAACUAUAUAUCAAAAUGUUUGUGACAGUCUUAAGUUUCCAAAACCAGUUGAUGCCAGAAUCCAAGUGGUGGGCAAAGUGCCCAAAUUCAAGAUAGCCGCCAAUAUGGCCGCCGAAAAUUAAAAAUCAUACUAUACAAAUUGACUUGACAAUAUAUUUCAAUUUUAUAGGCAUGGUCCUAAUUCUAUACAAGUUUCUGUUGCAAAAUAGUGUAAACAUAGCAUAUUUUAUCUUCAAGUAAUUGAAAUAUAUUCUUACAAAAUAUGGAGGAUAUUGCAUGCAAAACGAUAGGAAAAAUUUACUGUUUUAGAUACUUUCCUUUAAUAAUUCUAUCACUUUUAAUUGCUUGAUUAUAUUUUACAAGUUUUGUGCUUUAUUCAGAAAUUUCAUAAACUAUAUCAUCAGUAUUUUACAUGACAGCUUUUAAGUAAUUUAUUAUCUAUUAAUCCAACAAUCAAGGGCUAAGUAAACAGCUAAUUGGGUGAGGUAAAUCUACGUACACUUACAUAAGAUUAUAGUGUAAUACUUUAAAAUUCAUAUUAAGUAAAUGUUUUGUUUUUUAAAUGUCCAAACAGUUUCUUUUGGACAGAACGAACACGUGAAAAAAAAAUUAUUACAUGAUUAACAUUUGGUAUAUACAGGCAUUAGUAAAACUAAGUUAAAUAAUGGGUGUGGUUAAUCUGCAAAUGAUGAAAAUGUAUAAAGUAAUUAAAACAGACUGAAAUGUUAAUUCGAAAAUGAAAACUAAUUUUGUAGCAAUCAUAUAAGAUGCUGAUUUAUUUACUCAGGUCAUUUUCUUGUAAAAGAAAAUGUAAAAAUGAUUAAAAUACAACAUACGUAACAAUGUCUUCGACAGUUUGUUUACUUGUAAGCUUGUGAGAUAUUAUAACAUCAGUGAAAGAUAGAAUACUGCUCUGCAAUUACAUCUUUUUUUUAAAUAUAAAUAAAUAACCUUUAUGAUAUUAAUUCUAAAUUAAUAAUCAACCUACAUUGAACAAAUGUUGAUUGAUACAAACUGGCAUAAUAUGAUUUAAGUAAUCUAAGUCACUAGCAAACAAGAUGUGUGUUUUGUGUACAUUUUACACAUGUCAGUUUCUUAUCGAUGCACCUCGGAAAAACCAAAAUUUUAAUUUCAUUUAUUUGUUAUUUAAGGAAACAUGUUUCUACAUACUAUACUGCUAUAAUUACCUCAUACUACAAAAUUAUUAGGUAAUUAUAGCAGUGCAAAGUGUAGAAAAUCCUUAGAUUGAAAAAAGGCUAUCGAGAAUAUAUGUAGGAAGCUAUCUGGAAACUUUUUAAUUGGGUAUCUUUUUAUACGUAAGUAACCUAUAUCUAUAUUAAAAAGUUGCAACAUAUCCAGAACACGACAGCUCGCGUGACCACUAAGACUCUCCGUCACAAUCAUAUAACACCGAUUCCGAAGGAGUUCCAUUCGUUGCCAGUGAAAUACAGGCCCACUCUUUUAAGGCUAUACACAAUCAGUCCCAUGAUAUGAUAGAAGUGUAUAAACCGGUAAGAAACCUAAGAUCACAAGACACGCUGUCACUGUUUAUGCCAAAAACUAAAACCAUGAUGUAUGACAAUCGUACCUUUUCAUUCGCUACUCCAAAUCUUUGAAACUCCAAUCAAGUCAAGAUCAGGGGAGCUCACAUGCUAGCUGCUUUCAAAAGCUUGCUGAACACCAACUUCUUUGUACAAUAUUUCGUUAACUGAAUGAUACAUUAUUUUUUUCUUUUCAUAAAACAGCGUAGAACAGUAUUUUGGCGAUAGGUGAUUUAAAUAUGUAUGUUUGUCUUGUUUUGUCUGUGUGUUUUACAUUCACGAUUGAAAAAUAAAUUAGUAAAAUGAGAA